ACGGAGGGUGCAAGCGUUGCUCGGAAUUAUUGGGCGUAAAGCGCGUGUAGGCGGUUGCCUAAGUCUGGUGUGAAAUCCCCGGGCUUAAAUCCGGAACUGCACUGGAAACUGGGCAUCUAGAGGACAGAAGAGGAUGGUGGAAUUCCUGGUGUAGGGGUGAAAUCCGUAGAUAUCAGGAGGAACAUCAGUGGCGAAGGCGGCCAUCUGGGCUGUACCUGACGCUGAGACGCGAAAGCGUGGGGAGCAAACAG
rnacentral:rRNA from 1 species